ACUAAAACCUGAAAGCUCGUGGAGGUGAAAACACACGAGCUUGUGCUCGAUCAAGGAGAGGAAAGUUGGAAGAGUCAAGCUUGACAUUUAGUCUGUCUUGUGGUUUUCGACAUGGCAUGGUCAGUUACAAAAGUUUUUAAGCAGUAAUAUUGUUAGUUAAACGCACUGUACUAAUAUUUGUUGUACUGUGGCCGACAUCUAGAAAUUACCGGUAAAGGACACGACCGAAAAGGCAUUGACUUUUCUCGGCUAGGAACUUCGUACCAAACCUGUAACUACUGUAAUACGCCAUUUGUUAUCAUCACCAACACAAGGUACCUCUGUUGAAAUAAAUAAAGAUGGAUAAACUUUCUCCUGAAAAACCUACAAAUAAACGGGCAUCCAGGGCAACUGCCACUACAUUAUUAACGUAUAGAACAUUUGUGAAAAGACGAAUUCAAGAAAGCAGGAAGAGAAAGAAACAACAGAGAAUUCAUGAAUACCGUCGUCUUAGAACAAUGGUACCAUCCAUCUCUAAGAAGCCUAAGGUUUCUAAGGUCACUGUUAUAGAGGAAGCCAUUCGUUAUAUAGAUCAGCUACACAACGCUCUGCUAGCGAGAUUAAAGACUGGCGGAUUGCCAAGGUGCAUGCAAGAUAUGAACAUCGACGUAGACAGCCUAAGCCACGGUGAUAUCAAAGAUUUGGUGUGCGAGGUGAUGACAAGUACUCCCUCCUCUCCAUCAACUUCUGCACCAGUACUCGUUACAGAUAACAAUAGUCGAGAGAGAAACAGAACAAUCCCAUCUUAUUUCAUCAGGAAGCAAAAAAAAUGACAUAAAAAUGUCCAUCUAGUCAAUUUCAAAAUAGGAUGAACUGCACCAUCAGAGUUUCAGUCAUUCCUUUGAAAGGCGAUCUUUUGACCAUUAGUUGUGAUCUCCUGAUUCUGUGAUGCUAUACUCCUCACGAACAAAACAAUUCUAUUUUUAGUCUCUAAACCCCUGGACCUGUUUGGUUUGAGAUAGUAAUGAGUUCUUUGCUGAUUCCAGUCUUAGCGAAUUGUCCAAAUAUCAUACUUUCAUUAUCUUCAUGUUAUGUUCACAAUACAGGCGUUUUCGUAGAGCACGAAA